rnacentral:rRNA from 1 species
GAUGAACGCUGGCGGCGUGCCUAAUACAUGCAAGUCGAGCGAACGGACGAGAAGCUUGCUUUUCUGAUGUUAGCGGCGGACGGGUGAGUAACACGUGGAUAACCUACCUAUAAGACUGGGAUAACUUCGGGAAACCGGAGCUAAUACCGGAUAAUAUUUUGAACCGCAUGGUUCAAAAGUGAAAGACGGUCUCGCUGUCACCUAUAGAUGGAUCCGCGCUGCAUUAGCUAGUUGGUAAGGUAACGGCUUACCAAGGCAACGAUGCAUAGCCGACCUGAGAGGGUGAUCGGCCACACUGGAACUGAGACACGGUCCAGACUCCUACGGGAGGCAGCAGUAGGGAAUCUUCCGCAAUGGGCGAAAGCCUGACGGAGCAACGCCGCGUGAGUGAUGAAGGUCUUCGGAUCGUAAAACUCUGUUAUUAGGGAAGAACAUAUGUGUAAGUAACUGUGCACAUCUUGACGGUACCUAAUCAGAAAGCCACGGCUAACUACGUG